AGUGAACGCUGGCGGCAGGCCUAACACAUGCAAGUCGAACGGUAGCACAGAGGAGCUUGCUCCUUGGGUGACGAGUGGCGGACGGGUGAGGAAUAUAUCGGAAUCUACCCAAUCGUGGGGGAUAACGUAGGGAAACUUACGCUAAUACCGCAUACGAUCUGAGGAUGAAAGCGGCGGACCGCAAGGCGUCGCGCGAUUGGAUGAGCCGAUAUCCGAUUAGCUAGUUGGUAAGGUAAAGCUUACCAAGGCGACGAUCGGUAGCUGGUCUGAGAGGAUGAUCAGCCACACUGGAACUGAGACACGGUCCAGACUCCUACGGGAGGCAG
rnacentral:rRNA from 1 species